rnacentral:rRNA from 1 species
UACAGAGGGGGGCAAGCGUUGUUCGGAAUUACUGGGCGUAAAGGGCGCGUAGGCGGCCCGCUAAGUCGAACGUGAAAUCCCCGAGCUCAACUCGGGAACUGCGUCCGAUACUGGUGGGCUUGAAUCCGGGAGAGGGAUGCGGAAUUCCAGGUGUAGCGGUGAAAUGCGCAGAUAUCAGGAGGAACACCGGUGGCGAAGGCGGAUCUCUGGGCCUUACCUGACGCUCAGGCGCGAAAGCUAGGGGAGCGAACAGG